CCCUUAGAUGUUCUGGGCCGCACGCGCGCUACAAUGAUGAAUUCAACGAGUUUAUAACCUUAGUUGAAAAGCCUGGGUAAUCUUUUGAACUUUCGUCGUGAUGGGGCUAGACCCUUGCAAUUAUUGGUCUCCAACGAGGAAUUCCUAGUAAACGCAAGUCAUCAGCUUGCAUUGAUUACGUCCCUGCCCUUUGUACACACCGCCCGUCGCACCUACCGAUUGAAUGGUCCGGUGAAAUCUUCGGAUUGAGACUUUGAUUUCUUCACGGAAAACGCUGUUUUAAAAAGUUGAUUAAACCUUACCAUUUAGAGGAAGGUGAAGUCGUAACA
rnacentral:rRNA from 1 species